CCUACGGGAGGCAGCAGUGGGGAAUAUUGCACAAUGGGGGAAACCCUGAUGCAGCGACGCCGCGUGAGUGAAGAAGUAUUUCGGGACGUAAAGCUCUAUCAGCAGGGAAGAAAAACCGGCCUUAGGGCCGACAGACGGUACGUCACUAAAAAGCCCAGGCGAACUACGUGCCAGCAGCCGCGGUAAGACGUAGGGGGCAAGCGUUGUCCGGAUUUACUGGGUGUAAAGGGAGCGUAGACGGCAGAGCAAGUCUGGAGUGAAAUGCCGGGGCCCAACCCCCGAACUGCUUUGGAAACUGUGGAGCUGGAGUGCAGGAGAGGUAAGCGGAAUUCCUAGUGUAGCGGUGAAAUGCGUAGAUAUUAGGAGGAACACCAGUGGCGAAGGCGGCUUACUGGACUGUAACUGACGUUGAGGCUCGAAAGCGUGGGGAGCAAACAGGAUUAGAUACCCGAGUAGUC
rnacentral:rRNA from 1 species